CCUACGGGUGGCUGCAGUGAGGAAUAUUGGUCAAUGGGCGCGAGCCUGAACCAGCCAAGUAGCGUGAAGGAUGACGGCCCUACGGGUUGUAAACUUCUUUUAUACAGGAAUAAAGUGAGGUACGUGUGCCUUUCUGUAUGUAUCUUAUGAAUAAGGAUCGGCUAACUCCGUGCCAGCAGCCGCGGUAAUACGGAGGAUUCGAGCGUUAUCCGGAUUUAUUGGGUUUAAAGGGUGCGUAGAUGGGCUGAUAAGUUAGUUGUGAAAGUUUGCGGCUCAACCGUAAAAUUGCCAUUGAUACUGGCAGUCUAGAGUACAGUUGAGGUAGGCGGAAUUCGUGGUGUAGCGGUGAAAUGCUUAGAUAUCACGAAGAACUCCGAUUGCGAAGGCAGCUUACUAAGCUGCCACUGACAUUGAUGCUCGAAAGUGUGGGUAUCAAACAGGAUUAGAUACCCGAGUAGUC
rnacentral:rRNA from 1 species